rnacentral:rRNA from 1 species
AUUGAACGCUGGCGGCAGGCCUAACACAUGCAAGUCGAGCGGCAGCGGGAAAGCAGCUUGCUACUUUUGCCGGCGAGCGGCGGACGGGUGAGUAAUGCCUGGGAAAUUGCCCAGUCGAGGGGGAUAACAGUUGGAAACGACUGCUAAUACCGCAUACGCCCUACGGGGGAAAGCAGGGGACCUUCGGGCCUUGCGCGAUUGGAUAUGCCCAGGUGGGAUUAGCUAGUUGGUGAGGUAAUGGCUCACCAAGGCGACGAUCCCUAGCUGGUCUGAGAGGAUGAUCAGCCACACUGGAACUGAGACACGGGCCAGACUCCUACGGGAGGCAGCAGUGGGGAAUAUUGCACAAUGGGGGAAACCCUGAUGCAGCCAUGCCGCGUGUGUGAAGAAGGCCUUCGGGUUGUAAAGCACUUUCAGCGAGGAGGAAAGGUUGAUGCCUAAUACGUAUCAACUGUGACGUUACUCGCAGAAGAAGCACCGGCUAACUCCGUGCCAGCCGCCGCAGUAACAC